GCGUAUCUGAUGUCAUUCCAGGUAGUGAUAGAUCCUGGUGGUAGCUUCUUCAACCAAUGAGCUGCAUCUCCAGCAAGAGAGUAUGGAAAUAGUUUGCAAAAGUAGUAGUCUUCAGAGACUCCAUUGCAUUUAAUGGUCGAUGCUAGAUCUACAAAUGUCUCCAGGUGGCUAGUGGGAUCUUUAUGAGGAAAACCAUGGAUAGAAUGCUGACCCAC
rnacentral:lncRNA from 1 species